rnacentral:rRNA from 1 species
CAGUUGGGCACUCUAGUGAGACUGCCGGUGACAAACCGGAGGAAGGUGGGGACGACGUCAGAUCAUCAUGCCCCUUAUGACCUGGGCUACACACGUGCUACAAUGGACGAUACAACGAGCAGCGAACUCGCGAGGGCAAGCUAAUCUCUUAAAACCGUUCUCAGUUCGGACUGCAGUCUGCAACUCGACUGCACGAAGUCGGAAUCGCUAGUAAUCGCG